ensembl:lncRNA
AGGAAAAACAGCAAACCCCGGCUCAGCAAAGGAGGUGAAAACCACCCAAGUCAAAUCACAUCUCCCAGCGUGGUGGCACAGACAACACAGACUGUCCCCCAUCUGGAGGAAGCCUGGCAGCUGAGCAGACCGUGGUGACGCUUCCAAUGAACUCUCGGAGCCAAACGUGAGGUUGCUGAGCUGAGGGUUGUGCUUAAGUGUGGCUGGUGAGGGAUGCUACUGAGGCCACAGCGCGUGAGGCUGGAGGCACAGAACUUCCACGUCCGGCUGCACUGGGAGCCAGACCCCAGCUUACCCAGCUCUGCCACCUACGAGGUGGAGUGGAGGAACAGAACCUCGAACUGGACCAAGGCAGGUGCCUGUGGGGAGAACAGCAGAAACUCCUGGGGGUGUGAGCUGCAUUUUGACAGGAUUCAUGAUAUCUACUGGGCACGGGUGAGAGUGGUGGCCGGAGGUGAGCAGUCCGAGUGGGCCAGUUCCAGCGAGCUGCAGCUGUACAGAGACACAAUUGUUGGCCCCCCCAAAUUGUCCUUGCUGCUCCAGGACCAAAUUCUCAGCGUAAACAUCACCACACCACUCACUCCCUACAAGAGAAGGACUGGCUCCUACAAGCGAGUCAACCAAGUGCUGCUGAAGCUGGGGUACUGGCUGCACCUCUACGAGGGGGAGCUGCUUGUCCAGCAGGUGCCCUGCAGGCAGAGGAGUAAAGAAGUGCCCUGCAGCUUUGAGCACCUGAAGGCCAGCACACAGUACUGUGUGCGGACAGCGGCUGUGGGCAUUGCCCGGGAGCGGAGCCGGGAGGCGGAGCAGUGCCUGCUGACCCCUGCAGCCCCUUCAGGUUUUCCCUGGCUCCCUGCUGCGCUGAGUGCCUUCUUCCUGCUGCUGCUACUAAGUGUGGCCGGGUUCUGCAUCAUGUGGCUGCACGUCUUUCCCAAUUCUCCACAGACGUGCCUCCCAAAAGCACUGGCUCUCCAGAACAUGAGUGUGACCAUGCAGCUGCCUCCACUCCAGCUUGAGGAGGACCCCCUGGCCCAGCUCCUGCAGACUGCACUCCCCUCCCACGGGCCACCCACAGCACCAGCCAUGGUCCCACGGCUCCUCCGAGGCCUUGCCCAGGGUGUGAGUGACUACUGUGCCAAUGGCUUCAGCCCAAACUGCACUGAGGGAAGGGAGACAUCCUGCACCCACAGUCAGCUGGGACCUGCUGUAGCUUCCCAGCUCCCCUCCCAGCUGGAGGAGGAUGAGGAGGCAGGUGAUGGGGAUGAUUUGCCAGAGCAGCUGGUGCUAGUGGGACUGGCUGGACACAGCUACAGAGGUGACAGGGACAGGCAGAUACCUGAGCUACGGCAGCCCCUGCACCUCCAGCUUUAUUCUAAAUGCCAGUGCCCAGUCCUGGGAGCAGGCAGCCACCUUCCUCUGCCCGUGCCAAGCAGAAGCUGCAGGCAGGAGUACCUGCAGGAGAGUCUCGGCACGGCUGGGCACUGGAUCCGGCUCAGCUCCGUGAAGCUCCUGGCUGGUGUGGAGGCAGAGGGAGGGCAGCACCUCUGUGCUCCCCAAACCCUGCGUGGUGACAGGACUGAGCCAGAACAAGGUGACAGCACCGCUCAGCGAGGCUGCUCGGAGCGGGCAGAACCAGAACCGUGCCCCUCCUGCCCCGGCCAGCUGCCCCCCUCACCCCUGCGGCCAGUGGCCUCCUCUGGCUACGAGCCCCGUGCCCCCAUCGGGCAGUGAGCCUCAGCCAGCGGGGCUCCCCACAGCCUCCAGCUCCAGCAGAGCCCUCCCCGGCCUCCCUGGCCCUGAGGCUGCGUGUCCCAGCCUGCUGCUGCUGGGGAUGGCACUGGGGCAGCUCCCAGGGCAGGCAGAGUCGUAUUCCAAGGAUCUGCCAAGGAUGGGCAGGAUCCAGAUCUUUCCUCUGAACUUUGGUGCUCUUGAGACACAGCAUAAGGAGAUAAGGAGUAUGAACCAACGCUGAGCCCUCAAAACUCUUAUCUAGAGAUGUGUCUGUAUGGUACAGUAGUUAUACUAAUGUUUAUACAUACAUAUUUAUAAAACUCUUUAAUGAAAAAAUGUUGAGGUUUUAACUUCUGUGGAAAUGUUGAUUCUGUGCUGGAGUUUUUUUUAAAUAUCACUA